AGCGAACGCUGGCGGCAGGCCUAACACAUGCAAGUCGAACGAAGUCUUCGGACUUAGUGGCGGACGGGUGAGUAACACGUGGGAACGUACCUUUUGGUUCGGAACAAAUCAGGGAAACUUGAGCUAAUACCGGAUGAGCCCUUUGGGGGAAAGAUUUAUCGCCGAAAGAGCGGCCCGCGUUGAAUUCGCUAGUUGUUGAGGUAAAGGGUCACCAAGGCGACGAGCUAUAGCUGGUCUGAGAGGAUGACCAGCCACACUGGGCCUGAGACACGGCCCAGACUCCUACGGGAGGCAGCAGUGGGGAAUCUUGCGCAAUGGGCGAAAGCCUGACGCAGCCAUGCCGCGUGAAUGAUGAAGGUCUUAGGAUUGUAAAAUUCUUUUACCAGGGACGAUAAUGACGGUACCUGGAGAAAAAGCCCCGGCUAACUUCGUGCCAGCCGCCGCCGUAAUAC
rnacentral:rRNA from 1 species